rnacentral:piRNA from 1 species
UACCAGUUCUGUCUGUGAUGUCAAGGUUUC